ensembl:lncRNA
GCAGGAUUUAUGUCUUUGGCUUCUCAUCUCAUUGGCCAUGUCUCUGGCCCCUUUCUCCAGGCCAGCCCCAUCCUGGAAGGCUCAGCUGGACGAGAGGAGGAGGAAGAGACUGGAGUUCUUGGGCUGGGAGUGACCAGUCAAGACUGCUUCUUUUCCACCCGCUCCCCUGGUCCUCACCUGCAGGGGUGGAGGCAUCCAGGCCCCAGGAGCAGUGAUGGAAAAUCCUGGAGAGAAGGGCGCUGUGGUUGCUGCCACACCAAACCGAGGUCUCCAGUUUCCGAUGGCAUGGGACAUGCGUGCUAUUGACAGAGGACAGCUCAGAGCGAGGCUUGCACAGCACAUCCCCAGCCUUGGGUUCUCAAAACAACAGUGCAAGGCUCCAGGAACGAGCUCCUUCAGCUGGAUCUAUCUGCAGGACUCUUGAGUCGGCUUCUGGAAGUCCCAGCUGAGAAGCAGCCUCCAAAACACGGCGUUUCUGCAGCCCCUCUGAGGAACAGAGGACAAUGCUCCGUCCAGCUGCAGACAUCCUUCUCCCCGCAGAGGCCCUGUGAACAGCCCGCGACCUCGGUCCAAGCCCAUCAGUGAGCUGGGGCUCUAAGGUCAUGAAACUCAUUUCCAUCUGUCAAUUUCUUUAAUUAGGUGGGGAAUUUCAUUGACCGUCUGUGGACCUAGAGUACCCAA